AGGAGACAGAGGACAGUUAGACAGAGACAAGCAGCCAAUCAGAGACAAGCAGCCAACCAGAGACAAGCAACCAACCAGAGACAAGCAGCCAAUCAGAGACAAGCAGCCAAUCAGAGACAAGCAGCCAACCAGAGACAAGCAGCCAACCAGAGACAAGCAGCCAAUCAGAGACAAGCAGCCAACCAGAGACAAGCAACCAACCAGAGACUAGCAACCAACCAGAGACAAGCAACCAAUCAGAGACAAGCAGCCAACCAGAGACAAGCAGCCAAUCAGAGACAAGCAACCAACCAGAGACAAGCAACCAACCAGAGACAAGCAGUCAACCAGAGACAAGCAGCCAAUCAGAGACAAGCAGCCAACCAGAGACAAGCAGCCAACCAGAGACAAGCAGCCAAUCAGAGACAAGCAGCCAACCAGAGACAAGCAGCCAACCAGAGACAAGCAGCCAAUCAGAGACAAGCAGCCAACCAGAGACAAGCAGCCAACCAGAGACAAGCAGCCAAUCAGAGACAAGCAGCCAACCAGAGACAAGCAGCCAACCAGAGACAAGCAUCCAAACAGAGACAAGCAGUCAACCAGAGACAAGCAGCCAAUCAGAGACAAGCAGCCAACCAGAGACAAGCAGCCAACCAGAGACAAGCAGCCAAUCAGAGACAAGCAGCCAACCAGAGACAAGCAGCCAACCAGAGACAAGCAGCCAACCAAAGACAAGCAGCCAAUCAGAGACAAGCAGCCAACCAGAGACAAGCAGCCAACCAGAGACAAGCAGCCAACCAGAGACAAGCAGCCAAUCAGAGACAAGCAGCCAACCAGAGACAAGCAGCCAACCAGAGACAAGCAGCCAACCAGAGACAAGCAGCCAAUCAGAGACAAGCAGCCAACCAGAGACAAGCAGCCAACCAGAGACAAGCAGCCAACCAAAGACAAGCAGCCAAUCAGAGACAAGCAGCCAACCAGAGACAAGCAGCCAACCAGAGACAAGCAGCCAACCAGAGACAAGCAGCCAAUCAGAGACAGACACACAGACCUCUGUUCUGUAUCUUCAUACUGACCUUUGACUUUGAGCUCCACUGUUUUCACUCGCCACACGUCCUUGUUGUAGACUUCACACCUGUACGUUCCUGUGUCUGUCUCUUUGGGGUGUUUCAGGGUCAGACUGAGGUCUCCAGUCUUCAGCAGGUCUUUCUUCAUCUCUGUUCGGUCUUUGUAAUCCUGGUCCUGUUCUUCAGGCUGCUCAGAUCUGUUCUCAUACAGGUGGACUGUACUGUAUGA
rnacentral:lncRNA from 1 species